CGGACCUUUCGCUAGGAGCACUCCUCGUUCACACCGAGGGGGUCACAGGUUCAAUCCCUGUCGCGUCCACC
rnacentral:tRNA from 1 species